rnacentral:tRNA from 1 species
GGGAGUGUAGCUCAAUUGAAUAGAGCUUCAAGUUUCUACCUUGAAAGUUGUGGGUUUAAGUCCUACCACUCCCG